AGUUAUGAAAUAUUUAUGGAAGCAAAUCAGACUCAUCAGAUUCUGAAUUUUAAAAGCUGCUGAAUUUCUUACUUUGAAUUUUUUUGCAUCAAAAUUACGUAUGUGAAUUUUUUAUGCCUGAAUUUAGCUCAUCAAAAUUCUAAAAACCAGUUAAAAAUUCAAUGUCUUCAAAAUUCGCCAUCAAAAAAAUUUGAUGUCUUCAAAAUUCAUCAUCAAAAAAUUCAAUGUUCAAAAUUCGCCAUCAAUAAAUUCAAUGUUCAAAAUUCGCCAUCAAAAAAUUCAAUGUCAAAAAAUUCGCUGUCAAAAAAUUUGCUGUUCACAUCCGGGGGACUCAGGCGUAAAAAAUCGAUCCUGGCCAAAAUCGAAUCAACGCCCAGCCAAUCACGUGGCGCUCCUCCGGUCAUGUGACGCAGACGGUUCACCUCACAAGACCGGGGUCAACCAGGGCUACCAGCAUGAGCGACGGCGCUUCAGACCCACGCAGCGAGGACCCGAUGCCAGGUCCAGUGGACAGACUUCAGACGUCUCUGUGUGUCCGGUCCUGUCCGGUCCUGUCUCUGGUUGCCUGGUUACAGACGCUGCUGCACCCGCACGUUUAAAAAUGUCUACACCUGAAACUCCACCACGUCUAAAGAAACAAAAACGUUUGCAAAUGUACAGACUGGAGUGGGAAGAGUGGAACCCCUGGCGGUGGGUACAAGGCAAACUGUGUUUUCUGUUGCUCAUGGACUGGCUGAAGUAAGGCAGCAUCAGGAGACGAACAUGGAGGAAAUAUGAGAACAGAGAGAACCCAACCAGCAGGUCACAGUUUAUCAUCAUCUAAUCAUCUCCUGAAGUCCAUAUGGUCCCUCUCUAUCUCCCCACACAUCCACCAACCACUGGAACACAUCUCCAAAGUUCUGCUGGACCAGCUCAGCUUCCCUUCAGAAGAAGUGCCGCCACCUGCCAGAUGAAGGAGCCUUUUGAGAGGCAGCUGACAUCGUGAUUGGACUGUACUUUGGUCUGUUCCAAUCCAGCUUCAGCUCCAGAGACGGCAGGCGGGACGAGUCAACGGAGGCCGGGUGGACGAAGGCAUGCAGCUGAGUACAAUCCAGAAAACAACAGAGGAGGAGUGCAGCAACCCAGAGCCAGAACAAACAGAGUAGCAUCGUAUGUCUCUUAGAAAACAUCAUAGUAUAGCCUUUGGUAUGAAAAAACACCAUCAUAUACAUCGUAUAUUGUACAAAUAACAAGUCAAAGCAAAGAGACAUACAUUGUAGAAUUGUAGUAAUUGUGGGCUGACUGAUUUACUGAUUAUCAGUAUCUUAUUUUUUUUACUGAUUUAUGGUAAUAAAUACAUUUAAAAAUGG